AGUGAACGCUGGCGGUAGGCCUAACACAUGCAAGUCGAACGGCAGCACAGAGGAGCUUGCUCCUUGGGUGGCGAGCGGCGGACGGGUGAGGAAUACAUCGGAAUCUACUCUGUCGUGGGGGAUAACGUAGGGAAACUUACGCUAAUACCGCAUACGACCUACGGGUGAAAGCAGGGGAUCUUCGGCCCUUGCGCGAUUGAAUGAGCCGAUGUCGGAUUAGCUAGUUGGCGGGGUAAAGGCCCACCAAGGCGACGAUCCGUAGAUGGCCUGAGAGGAGGAUCGGCCGCACUGGAGCGGAGACGCGGUGCAGACUCCUACGGGAGGCAACAGUGGGGAAUUUUGGACGAUGGGCGCAAGCCGGACCCAGCCAUACCGCGUGGGUGAAGAAGGACUUCGGGUUGUAAAGCCCUUUUGUGGGGAAGGCAAUCCAUCUGGUUAAUACACGGGUGGGAUGACGGUACCCAAAGAAUAAGCACCGGCUGACUUCGUGCCGGCAGCCGCCGCAG
rnacentral:rRNA from 1 species